rnacentral:rRNA from 1 species
GCCGCAAGGUUAAAACUCAAAUGAAUUGACGGGGGCCCGCACAAGCGGUGGAGCAUGUGGUUUAAUUCGAUGCAACGCGAAGAACCUUACCUGGUCUUGACAUCCACAGAACUUUCCAGAGAUGGAUUGGUGCCUUCGGGAACUGUGAGACAGGUGCUGCAUGGCUGUCGUCAGCUCGUGUUGUGAAAUGUUGGGUUAAGUCCCGCAACGAGCGCAACCCUUAUCCUUUGUUGCCAGCGGUCCGGCCGGGAACUCAAAGGAGACUGCCAGUGAUAAACUGGAGGAAGGUGGGGAUGACGUCAAGUCAUCAUGGCCCUU